GAUAUUAACCCAUAUGUCCCACUGUAUGUAUGUAUAUAUGUGUAUGUGUGUCUGUGUAGGGGAGAGUGACCUGGUUGGUCUCCAUCCAGCGCGUGGCCUCCUGUAUGACAUUAAACUCGACGAAGGCGAAUCCUCGGCUCUGACCUGGACACCGCCCAGCGCCAUGGUUUCUAAAAGAGUUUGUUGCCAAGGAUACGGAUCACGAUAACCUGGGGAAACCUUUGGAUGGACAGCCGCUUGGUGCACUCUUUUCUCCUCCUGAGAGAAGAGGUCCAGACACUCCCUCAGCGUGACCUCGCCGCCAGAGCUCCUCUUGGGGAUGGGCAGCGACAGAUCACAGAACACAUCGAAUGUGUUGGAGUAGUGGGAGCACACCGAGCAGUGCAGCGAGCUCCGCAGCUGGCCCGAGAACAGGUCUGUGAGAGACGGGUGGCGAGAAUCAUCAGUGGAUCUACAGAUCAGACCGACGGGUCACCACGACUGGAUUUGCUUUCCUCACCUACUAUUCUGCUGUCAUCUCUCUCCAAGUGCUUCUUCCACAUGGCUGCCGCCUCCUCGGAAAUCCUAGGCGAGGACAAAAGAUGAGAAAACAACUGAAGUCACAUCAAGGUUGUAAAGGCUUCAAUAUUAAAUCUUUUCCACACAAACACACACACACACACACACACACACACACACAC